rnacentral:lncRNA from 1 species
AGAUAAAAGGUGUUUAUGGAUCGAUCACCGCUAAAAAUGAUGUGAUGGUUGAUCCUCAUUGUGAGAGUUUUCUCUUCCUCAAGGACUCGAGUGAAAGUGUAGAAAUAGUAGAUGGGCAGCCAAUUCCAUUGUCCAGGUCCGUAGUAGCCGUUCCAGUCAAGUCCAACCUCACAGUUUGUGCACAUCUGAAAAGCAAGGACACGGACAAGGAGUUUAAAGAAGAUGUAUCCUUUAGUGUUGAACUCCAUGGUAAAUCGGAAAAACUAAUAAACAGCAUACAAGUGAGGGUCACUUGGAAACGCUUUUGGUAUGAGUAUAUAUAUGUUUCUAUUGUAAAUUUGUGACUUAUAAAUAUUUGAACUUUUAUAGAUUCAUUUCUGUUAAAAAUUUCGUUUUGUUUUAAUUUGAACCAGGGAUGUAUGGUGAUAUGCAGUGAUCCUGCUGCCGUACUAGUGCAGAAGAUCUCAGAUUGGAGGCACCUUGGAAUUCGAUUUGCUAUUUUAUGUAUUUCCUUUAUUUUAAAUUAGGAUUGUAUUUGUGGAUUGUGGGUGGGAGUUGUUUGAAACUUUGAUUUCUGUCAUGGAUGUGUUGUUUGAAACUUUGUGGAUUGUAUUUGUACUAUGUGGAAGUUGUUUGGAAUCAUUUUGGUUGGAUAUUUCGAUUCACCUGUUUGAAACCGCUGCCAUCCCCUAUGUGUCUGAUGAUUGAUGUGGUUGAAGUGUUGUCGUGCCUGUUGCGCAUCCUAUUUGGGUCUGAUCUAUCUAUUUUUAGCUAGUUUAAUUUACAUGUCAACAUUUUUGAUGUAAUUUGAAAUGUCUUUGUGGCCAUCUCAUGCGUAGUCUGUUUUCAUUUUUUAUAGGCCUAUAAUCUUACAUAUCGACUAAUUAUCUCUAUUUGCAGAGAUUGCUGAAAAAGAGAAAUACGCUGUACUGUCCAUGCUGAGGUAUGUCUACCGAGUGUCAAACUAGGUUCUUUUAGAAGCAAUUUCUUUGAAUUAAUGCUAAAUUUACAACUCUUUUGUCCCAAACUAGUUGGAGUGCAGGCUACCAUCAUGUGCUUGAUAAUGUGUACUAUAAGUAAAAAGUUACGAUGCAUUUUUGAAUUUGUAGUAUAUUGUAGUUCUACUAUUAUACAUAUAUUGUUAUAAUUAUGUGUGUGUGUGAGAGAGUGAGGAGAUUCCGGAGAUGUCGGAGAUUCAAGUAGAAUUUAGUAAGCAAAUGAUACCUUUAUCCUUGAGAGUUUGGAUAAGCUAAAUUUUUGUAAUUUGGUGAUUUUAUCACAAAGGGAGUCUUGCAUCAUUACUCCAAGUCUUGAGUCUCCUUUUUGGAAACCUAAACAGGAAAACACACUAGUAUUUACCUGUACAAUCUACCCUUCUUUGAAUCAAUAUGUUAUUGGUCAAAACCUUGAUUUAAGAAUGCAGCUCAUGAGCUCAACAAUUAGAAAUUGUGAUUUGAAGAUUGUCCAAAGAAUACAUUGAAGAAGGUUAAAGUUUGACUCAAAGAGUGAACAAUAAGUUUACUUGUUUAAAAUGAAUUAUAU